ensembl:lncRNA
GUAUUUGUCAAUGUUUCUGACAGCGAUCAAAGGAACUUUUGCCAAAUAAGGCUUGGAAAGCCAUCAACCUGAGUUUCCAUACAGGGACAGAAAUUUCCACACUGCAGACUUCCAAAGCACAAUAAGAAACACAAUACGAGUGCUUUGUGGUAGCUUCCCAUGACUGCAACACGUGCAGAAUGUGGGGCGCAGUUCUCCGUGGGAGCCAGAAUACGAGGGUUUGAUGAGAAGCAGCAUGUGAAUAAUGAAAGUUCAUUGCCUGUUCUGGAGGAGUGAGAAGUCCCUCUGAUCUUGGUGCCAAGUCAUGGCAGGUAGCCCAGUGGUAAAGAAUCCGCCUGCCAAUGUAAGAGAUGCAGGAGACGGGGAUCCGAUCUCUGGGUCGGGAAGAUCUCUUGGAAUAAGAAAUGGCAACCCACUCCAGCAUUCUUGCCUGGAGAAUCCCAUGGACAGAGGAGUCUGGCGGGCUACAGUCCAUGAGCUGGACAUGACUGAGCACACACACACAUC